rnacentral:misc_RNA from 1 species
GAUGAAGAACGCAGCGAAACGCGAUAAGUAAUGUGAAUUGCAGAAUCCAGUGAAUCAUCGAAUCUUUGAACGCACAUUGCGCCCGCCAGCAUUCUGGCGGGCAUGCCUGUUCGAGCGUCAUUUCAACCCUCGACCUCCCCUUGGGGAGGUCGGCGUUGGGGACCGGCAGCACACCGCCGGCCCUGAAAUGGAGUGGCGGCCCGUCCGCGGCGACCUCUGCGCAGUAAUACAGCUCGCACCGGGACCCCGACGCGGCCACGCCGUAAAACACCCAACUUCUGAACGUUGACCUCGAAUCAGGUAGGACUACCCGCUGAACUUAAGCAUAUCAAUAAGCGAGGA